AUGCCUACAAAAAAUCAAUUGAUUCGUCAUGGUAGAGAAGAAAAACGGCGCACGGACCGUACUCGAGCUUCGGAUCAAUGUCCCCAGAAGCAAGGAGUAUGCCUGCGUGUUUCGACGAGAACACCGAAAAAACCUAAUUCAGCUCUACGUAAGAUAGCAAAAGUACGGUUGAGCAAUCGACAUGAUAUAUUUGCUCACAUUCCAGGCGAAGGU
rnacentral:rRNA from 1 species